rnacentral:lncRNA from 7 species
ACCCAGGGUUCAGAGGCAUAAUGUACAGCUCAAGUUUCAGGUGGGCUUAGCAGGAAAGUGAAGACAGAAGAAAGCAAAUGGAUGGGCUUUUGCUACUCAACUGCAGCCACCAAAAGGAGACAGCAUGAGAAUGCAGGAGGUCAGAGGCUGCCUACUUCUGUUAAGGCAUGGAAAGAGAACCAGAUGAAGAAUAAUACAAGCAUUACCUGUUGGGGAGUAAAGUCAGGAGGAGUAAGUGACAUUUGGUGUCAAGCCUAUCACAAAUUUACCACGGCGUUUUGAAGACAAAACUGCUGUAAUAACUUCGGAAGAGCAUGACAUCCAUAUAAUAUCGUUAACUAUGCAUAAUGUCACCAGCUGCGUUUGCCCAUUGUUGUUGAUACUUAACCAUUACUCUCCUUCUACAACUUGAAAGUACUUUUCAAAUAUAUGUUACAGCAUGAUCAAACAAAUUUAGAUAAGGCUGACACAGACAGUUUCUUUGUUUGGCAUUGAUUUUUCUCUACUAGAAAUGCUAUUAAACUGAAGCAAAAGGCAUUUUUCUUCUGCACGGUUUUAGUACUUCUGUUGAUUGAAUUCAAAAGUCUAUACUAAUCAGUGCAGACCUCACUGUAAAUAAACAUGAAAUACUGUACAGCU